rnacentral:rRNA from 1 species
UACGUAGGGUGCAAGCGUUGUCCGGAAUUAUUGGGCGUAAAGAGCUCGUAGGCGGUCUGUCGCGUCUGCUGUGAAAUCCCGAGGCUCAACCUCGGGUCUGCCGUCGAUACGGGCAAACUGGAGUGUUGCAGGGGAGACUGGAAUUCCUGGUGUAGCGGUGAAAUGCGUAGAUAUCGAGAGGAACACCUGCGGCGAAGGCGGGUUGCUGGGCUGACACUGACGCUGAAGCGCGAAAGCUAGGGGAGCGAACGGG